rnacentral:rRNA from 1 species
GAUGAACGCUGGCGGCGUGCCUAAUACAUGCAAGUCGAGCGAACAGAUGAGGAGCUUGCUCCUCUGACGUUAGCGGCGGACGGGUGAGUAACACGUGGAUAACCUACCUAUAAGACUGGGAUAACUUCGGGAAACCGGAGCUAAUACCGGAUAAUAUAUUGAACCGCAUGGUUCAAUAGUGAAAGACGGUUUUGCUGUCACUUAUAGAUGGAUCCGCGCCGCAUUAGCUAGUUGUUAAGGUAACGGCUUACCAAGGCAACGAUGCGUAGCCGACCUGAGAGGGUGAUCGGCCACACUGGAACUGAGACACGGUCAAGACUCCUACGGGAGGCAGCAGUAGGGAAUCUUACGCAAUGGGCGAAAGCCUGACGGAGCAACGCCGCGUGAGUGAUGAAGGUCUUCGGAUCGUAAAAAUCUGUUAUUAGGGAAGAACAAAUGUGUAAGUAAAUAUGCACGUCUUGACGGUACCUAAUCAGAAAGCCACGGCUAACUACGUG